rnacentral:rRNA from 1 species
UACGUAGGGUGCGAGCGUUGUCCGGAAUUACUGGGCGUAAAGAGCUCGUAGGUGGUUUGUCGCGUUGUUCGUGAAAACUCACAGCUUAACUGUGGGCGUGCGGGCGAUACGGGCAGACUGGAGUACUGCAGGGGAGACUGGAAUUCCUGGUGUAGCGGUGGGAUGCGCAGAUAUCAGGAGGAACACCGAUGGCGAAGGCAGAUCUCUGGGCCGUAACUGACGCUGAGGAGCGAAAGCAUGGGGAGCGAACAGG